AGUGGCGAACGGGUGAGUAACGCGUGAAUAAUCUGCCCUUGGAUAGAAGAAAACCUUACGAAAGUUUGGCUAAUCUUUUAUGUUGGUUGUUUUGCAGCAGGCAAAACAAUGAAAGGCCCUUCGGGGUCGUCCGAGGAUGAGUUCGCGUCCCAUUAGCUGGUUGGUGAGGUAACGGCUCACCAAGGCGACGAUGGGUAGCCGAUCUGAGAGGAUGAUCGGCCACACUGGGACUGAGACACGGCCCAGACUCCUACGGGAGGCUGCAGUGGGGAAUCUUACACAAUGAACGAAAGUUUGAUGUAGCGACGCCGCGUGGAGGAAGAAGGCCUUCGGGUUGUAAACUCCUACCAGCAGGGAGGAAUAAGGUUGUCAGGUAAUGGGCAACCGAUGACGUUACCUGCUAUAUUAGCUCCGGCUAACUACGUGCCAGCAGCCGCGGUAAUACGUAGGGAGCAAGCGUUAUCCGGAAUCACUGGGCGUACAGGGUGCGUAGGCGGGUAUGCAGGUCUGGCGUGAAAGCCCCGAGCUCAACUUGGGAAUUGCGUUGGAAACCGUAUAUCUUGAGGACCAGAGAGGAAGGCAGAAUUCGUGGUGUAGCGGUGAAAUGCGUAGAUAUCACGAAGAAUACCAGUGGCGUAGGCGGCCUUCUGGAUGGUUCCUGACGCUGAGGCACGAAAGCGUGGGUAACAAACGGGAUUAGAUACCCCGGUAGUCCACGCAGUAAACGAUGGGCACUAGGUGUAGGGGAUACAACUCCUCUGUGCCGAAGCUAACGCAUUAAGUGCCCCGCCUGGGAAUUACGUUCGCAAGAAUGAAACUCAAAGGAAUUGACGGGGGCCCGCACAAGCGGUGGAGCACGUGGUUUAAUUCAAUGCAAAGCGACGAACCUUACCAGGUCUUGACAUGUCGGUAGUAAGGAUUCUGAAAAGAAACCUGAACCCUGUUUACAGGGAAGCCGUCACAGGUGCUGCAUGGUUGUCGUCAGCUCGUGCCGUGAGGUGUUGGGUUAAGUCCCGCAACGAGCGAAACCCCUGUCCUUAGUUGCCAGCAUUAAGUUGGGGACUCUAAGGAUACUGCCGGCGAAAAGCCGGAGGAAGGUGGGGACGACGUCAAGUCAUUAUGGCCCUUAUGACCUGGGCUACACACGUGCUACAAUGGGUGGUACAGAAGGUUGCAACACCGCGAGGUGAAGCGAAUCCUUUUUAAAGCCACUCCCAGUUCGGAUUGCAGUCUGCAACUCGACUGCAUGAAGGCG
rnacentral:rRNA from 1 species